CACGAAGACUAUUAUGACUCGUACGGUAGUCAUGUCAUGGAAUUUAUAAGAUUUCUCGUACGUGGAUCUACAAUCAUCAAAUACUUUCAAGCCAUGUGUUGCCAAUACGUCCUGUAUGACUCGUAGUGUCCAUGAGAUGAACUUUUCACGGAAGGUCAAACUUGGUCUACCGCCUUUGAAUCUUUGGCAAGAAGCGAGGACAUAUUUUCUUCGUCGGGGGGAAAAACGAAAAUCGCUACGUUACACCGUAAACUCAUUCCGUGUGAUGAUUAUGUAUGUCAAAAGUUAUUCUGUGAAACGAUCAGAUGAGCGAUUCUGAUUAUAGUGAUGGAAUAAAAAAAAAAGUGUACAGACUGCUUGACUCAUUGAAAGGAAGUAAGAAAUGUAAAAAUAAACAACAUAUGUAUAUAUAGAAUGAAUUAUUUUUUAUUGAUCAAUGUUUACUAUUAUUGGCUUUUCUCGUUUCUGUGUUUUAAUCGAAUCGUUUAUGUACUCGUAUUUUUUGUGGCAUUAAAAAUAAAUUUAACCACGCCGCACAUUUACAUGUAUCUACGUAUUUUUCGAGGUGUUAACAAAGAAAUAUUUAAUCACGCUAAACAUUUAUACACUACGCAACUAUUUUCCUUACUCACAUCGUAUGUUUUUUUGUGACGUUAAAAAAAUACUCAACCAUGUCAUAAAUAUAUACUCCAUGUCAAUAUUUCAUUCUUGUUUACUUCUUUUGUGCAAUAAACUCCAUUAGUUUUCAAAA